rnacentral:lncRNA from 1 species
CAGAUAGGAGCCAUCUCCCCACUGAUGACCUGUGACCACUGACCCCAGCUGAGUUUCCCAUAGUUUUGGGCCUUCUGAAGAGCCCAGCUCCUCCCACAGCUGCUGACAUAGCAACGGAGCGAAGCAGAGGGUCUGCAGGGGCCGUCAGCGCUGUGUGGAGAUAGAACGAAUGACUUUGGAUGGGCACUGAGCAGCAGAUCUGGGGGGGCUGCAGUGACACACGCACCUCCUGCAAAAGCAAGAGGACACCCAUCUGAAGGGCCUGUGUGAAAGAUCAUCCCCCACUCUUCCCCACACAAGUGGUUGGUUUGUGCCUGCAGCUACUCCAUGCUCCAAAGAAGACAAGAAUCUCCCCUCUAGCACCUGCAUGAAAAAACCAAACCAACAGAUCUCCCCACGCCCAGGAAGUGCCCACGCUCUGCUCCCUUAUCACCCCCAGCAGCAAGGUGAUGGAGAGGUAUAGCCAUUAUGUGAACAAGUGGGAAGGUUCAGCUUAGAGGAAGAGGAUUUAAAUACUGAGCCAUUAAGACUUUUCUGGAGUGGCUGGAGUAGCUACCAAGACCCUGUAGCAAAUACAUCUUUUGGACCUAAAGUCUGAGAAUACAGAACUGAGAGGUCUCCUUCAAGCCCUGAAUCAGACCUGCAUCUCCUAGUUUAACCCACCCAUACCAGCCAAAAAUUGAAUUAUGUCUGUUGACUCCAUGCCAAAGAUAUUGCCUUAUUUCUGCUAACCUACAAGAUUAUUUACACAUUGCUCCAUCAGAAAUUCCUCUGGAACAAAUGGAGCUUUUCACACCCAGUGGAGUUGGCCCAUCAUGAUGCUCUAACACAAAUGCAGUAUUUCUAAAGAACAUGAGUGAUAGACAUGAAGUUUGCUGUAAUCUUCUGGCUGCACUUCUAUCGCUGCUAACCACAACCCAUCAUUACAUUUUCUCAUGUCUGUUACUGUGAAUCAGCACCAACCCUCCCUCCCUCCACCCAAUCUCCCCACCUUGGCUCUGGCCUAGGCAGAGCUCACACACAUUAUGUAGGAAAACAUCAGUCCUCUCACUUUGAAAAUAG